UCCUCGAUAGCUCAACGGUAGAGCGGCUCCCUGUUAAGGAGAAGGUUCUAGGUUCGAAUCCUAGUCGAGGAG
rnacentral:tRNA from 1 species